rnacentral:rRNA from 1 species
UACGUAGGGAGCAAGCGUUGUUCGGAGUUACUGGGCGUAAAGGGUGCGUAGGCGGCUUCUUAAGUCUGGUGUGAAAUCUCCCGGCUCAACUGGGAGGGGGCGCCGGAUACUGAGGGGCUAGAGUGUGGGAGAGGAAAGUGGAAUUCCUGGUGUAGCGGUGAAAUGCGUAGAUAUCAGGAGGAACACCGGUGGUGUAAACGGCUUUCUGGACCAUAACUGACGCUGAGGCACGAAAGCGUGGGUAGCAAACAGG